AUGCUGUUCGGGCUGGCCCAGGAAGUGGGAGGAGAGGGGGGGGAGAGAAAGGUUAGUGGGGAGGAGGAGAGCAGAGAGAGGGCCUGCAGCGUUUCCCUCCCAGCCCCCGCUGAAGCUCUCCUGGCCCGUCAGUUCACCUGUCAUUCCCAUCUGGCAGAGGCUCCCACCAUCUUCCACCCUGUCUCAGGCUUGAGCCACUGUGUCUGUGGCUGCUGUCCCCAGGAACAGCUCGAACAGCUGCAGCAUGGACAGGAGUGUCCUGUCACAGGUGGUGACCAGUGGCUCCAUCGGCCUCAUCCUGGUGCUGGGCCUGCAACUCAACGGCCUGGCGCCCUGCGUCUUCUGUUGCUGCCUGCGCAGGUGGACGGAGGACCGCAUCUACAUGGCCAACCUGGUGGCGGCCGACUGCCUGCUGCUGCUGAGCCUGCUGGGGGUCCAGCACACUGGAGGGCGCCUGUGCAGGUCUCGAAGAGCUCCUACUACCUCAGCACCUCCGUGAGCAUGUGCCUCAUCCCAGCCAUCGCUGGGGACCGCGGCUCCACCCUGCACCUUCCCCUGCAGGCCGCCCCCACCUUCUGGUCCUCAGGGCGGUGGCCCUGUCCACGUCCGCACAAGCAGACAGCUUCUGCUUCGGGCAGAGCCCCACCCUUCAGGCAGGGCUUCUCCCAGCUCCUCUUCCUCCCACGGCUCCUCCUGAGCUUCUGUGUGGGGCAGGUGCUCGGGCAUCUCCUCCGUGAGGGAACACAGGCGCUGCCCCAAGCCACAGCCCACAUCUCAAGGCCCUCUGCAUGGUGGCGGCCAACCUGGCCACCUUCACGGUCUGUUUCCUCCCACUGCACGUCGCCUUCUUGGCCAAGCUCGUGGCCCAAUGGACAAAUUUGGCCUGCCCCACCAUCCAGAGGGUGGUCACCGUCAGACAGCCUGAUUCUCACACGGCCAACGCCAGCUGCUGCCAGGAUGCUGUCGGCUACUCUUCCACGGCCAUGGAGUUCCAGGAAGAUGUGGGGGCCGUCCUCGCCAUGCCCCGGCCUUUCCAGGGAUAGAUGUGGGGCUCUCCUGUGCGUGGUGACCCAACCUGGGCGCCUGGGGGGAGGCAGCUGA
rnacentral:lncRNA from 1 species